AAGGACCUGAGUAAGAUGAAGAGCCUUCUGGACAUUCUGACAGACCCCUCGAAGCGGUGUCCCCUGAAGACCUUGCAAAAGUGUGAGAUCGCCCUGGAGAAACUCAAGAAUGACAUGGCGGUGGGCCCCAGUGGUGUGCACCCGGAAGCGCAGGCUUGAGGAUGAUGAGCGGCAGAGCAUCCCCAGUGUGCUCCAGGGCGAGGUGGCCAGGCUGGACCCCAAGUUCCUGGUAAACCUGGACCCUUCUCACUGCAGCAACAAUGGCACUGUCCACCUGAUCUGCAAGCUGGGUGAGUGUCCAGAGGGCCAGGGCUGGCGUGAGAAAGCAGGCCCUGACCGUAGCCCCAGGACUCUGCCGUCCGAGCCAGAGGGCACAGCGCCCAGAACCCACCCUGUGUUCACGCCCCACCAGGCCUCAGAAAGCCUGGCCAUGCCUCAGUCCCCACUGCCAGAGCCCGCACACUCUCACCUCCCCAACACAGAUGUGGCUCUGCUUGCCUGGGCCCUAGGGAGGUGGUAGGCAGGACCUCUGGGCACCCAUCGAUGCAGGGCACUCCAGGCUUCACGUUUGGAAAUCUGAGAGUCAGAGAGACCUCCUCCAGGUUUUGCCACAAGCUUCACCAGAACCUCCCAGGGUGUGAAGAGUCCUGUUCCAGAGCAGGGCUGUGAGGCAGGGAAGGCCGGGGCUUGUCCAGGUCACAGAUAGAGCCUUCUGUGUUGCAGAUGACAAGGACCUCCCGAGUGUGCCACCACUGGAGCUCAGUGUGCCCGCUGACUAUCCUGCCCAAAGCCCACUGUG
rnacentral:sRNA from 1 species